GAUGGAAAAACCAACAAGCUACGACUUCAAAGCUUACCUUAUUUAGAAAAAGAGAAAGGGCUUUUUUUUUUAUAGAUGUUGAGGUUGAGUAAGGGGGGCGGACCAUGAAGAGCGAAGCGAGCCGCGCUAGCCUAGAAAUGUUUCUCAGUAGCAAGCUAUGGUCUAACAACCCCCUAACUUAGGUUGGGGCAAAAACUCCAAAAUCUAAAAUGUUAGUUAGGGUUCCUUUCCUUUUAGGCAAGCUACUUCGUUCCAAACCUUUCUUUAAUAAUAAGGUAAGCUUUCAAGCCGCCGCCAUUUAAAGGAGCGGGCACAGUGAAUUGUAAUUGUGAAAAGAUUGGAAGAUCUGGCUAAAGAAGGUGAUAGCCUUGUAGAUUCGUUCCCAUGGUUUGAUCUUUCCCAGUAAAAUGCGGCGUGUUCAAAUUCUGAUUGCUUUUGUGAGAAAAGGGGACCACCCUCUAAGCCUAAGUAUUCCUUAAUGACUGAUAACAUACAUGUACCGUGAGGGUAAGGUGAAAAGAACCCUAUUUAGGGAGUGCAAUAAAGAACCUAAGAUCCUAUGCGAAUGAUCAGUCAAAGGAGCGGAGCUUACAACCUUUACUUUAUGUAAAGCGCACUCACUCUAACGGCAUACCUUUUGCAUGAUGGGUCAGUGAGGAAAUAGGAACAACAACUUAAGACAUUAGGUGUAGGCUCUUUCCAGAGGUAGAAUCUUCUAGUUCUUCCUAUUUGACCCAAAACCGAUCGAUCUAGCCAUGAGUAAGUUGAAGAGAGCUCUAACAGGCCUUGGAGGACCGAACCCACGUAUGUAGAAAAAUACGGGGAUGACUGUGGCUAGGGGUGAAAGGCCAACUAAGAUCGGAUAUAGUUAGUUUUCUGCAAAAUCUAUUUUUGUAGAGCGUAUGAUGUCGAUAGCCCGAGGUAGAGAACUUAAUGGUCUAGGUUGGCCUCAUUUUGCCUUACCUACCCCAGGGAAACUCCAAAUACAGGCCUUGAUCAUUUGUACAGAUAGACUUUUUUGGUGCUAAGAUCCAAAGUCGAGAGAAAAAUAGCCCAGAUCGUACACUAAGGUCCCUAAGCAAUUACUUAGUAGAAAAAGAAGUUAUCGAGCGAUGACAACCAGGAGGUGCGCUUGGAAGUAACCAUCCUUUGAAGAAAGAGUAAUAGCUCACUGGUCUAGCUCCAUGGCACCAAAAAUGUAUCAGGGCUUAAGUGAUUCACUAAAGCGACGAGACCUUGAAAGUUGUUUUUUCAAGUGUCAGUAGCGGAACGUUUUGUCAAUCAGGGAAGGUUUUUUGUGAAAAGACCUGGACAUAUUAGAAGUGAGAAUGCUGACAUGAGUAACGAAAAAUCCUGUGAAAAAUACGAUCGCCUGCUAGUGGAAGGUUUUCCGCAGAGUGAAUCGGCCCCUAAGGAACCCCCGAAAGGGCCUAGUCCGAUGGGUACACAAAAGUGAUGAAGUUGCUUUGACUACAGAACCAUGCCUGUCUGUUGGAGUGAAUUGGAUGAUCAGGACGAGGGCUGCCCCUUUUUUCCCUUACUCUUCUUUCCCUAAUAUGAACUUUGAGUCAUCAAAGCCUUUCUGACUCGGCCUGGCUCGGUCGCCCUAUGCGACUGGCGCUUCAAAAGGCAAAACUCUUAGUCAUAGUUUGGCGACCUAUCUUCAGUAGGGGACUUUAGUCUUUUGAUUAGAGUAGAGGUCGUGAGAGAGCAGAGCAUACCGCCCUACCAUNUUGAUUAGAGUAGGGGUCGCGAGAGAGCAGAGCGUACCGCCCUGCCAUAGUCACGAGUCUGUUUAUAGUCGCGACUGUUGUCAUAGUCAACAAGGUUGAAACUUCCAGGAAAAAACUUCGAAUUGGGAGGGCGAUCCUCCCGGUGAACUGACCGUACCCCAAACCGACACAGGUGAACAAGUAGAGUAUACUAGGGCGCUUGAGAGAACCAUGUCGAAGGAACUCGGCAAAAUGACCCCGUAACUUCGGGAGAAGGGGUGCUCUCCUAUCUUUUGAUUAGGAAAGCGGCACAUACAAGGGGGUAGCGACUGUUUAUUAAAAACACAGGACUCUGCUAAGUGGUAACACGAUGUAUAGAGUCUGACACCUGCCCGGUGCUGGAAGGUCGGAAGGAGAAGUGUUAUAAGCUUUGAAUGGAAGCCCCGGUAAAUAGCGACAGUAACUCUAACUAUCCUAAGGUAUCAAAAUUCCUUGUCGCUUAAGUAGUGACCUGCACAAAUGGUGUAACGACUGCCCCGCUGUCUCCUAUAUGGACCCGAUGAAAUUGAAUUCUUCGUUAAGAUGCGGAGUACCAAUGGCUAGACGAUAAUACCCCAUGUACCUUAAUUAUAGCUUUGCAGUGACAACCUUAAUCGAAUAUGUAAGAUAGGUGAGAGGUGGUGACAAACAAUGACCAAUCCUGAAAGACCACUCUUUCAUCUAAGGAUACCUAACCAUCGCACCAAUCAUUUUGGGGACGGAGGGACAUUGCGAGGUGGGUAGUUUAUAUGGGGCGGAUGCCUCCUAAAGAGUAAUAGAGGUGUGCGAAGGUAGGCUCAAGCUAAGAUUCUGCUCGUGAGCGUAAUGGUAUAAGCCUGCCUGACUGUGAGACCGACUAGUAGAACAGAGAUGAAAGUCGGCUAUAAUGAUCUGGAAGUCCCGUGUGGAAGGGCUCUCGCUCAAUGGAUCAAAGGUACACCAGGGAUAACAGGAUGAUGACUCCCAAGAGCUCUUAUCGACGGAUUCGUUUGAAACUUGAUGUCGACUUAUCAUAUUCUAGGGUUAAAGAAGAUCCCAAGGGUUUAGUUGUUCUUCGAUUCAAGUAGUACGUGAGUUGGGUUUAGAAUGUCGUGAGACAGUUCGAUUCCUAUCUACCGUUGGUGUUAAAGAGAGAACUAUGAGGAUCCUACCCUAGUAUGAGAGGACUGGAUUGGGCUAACCUAUGGUGUACCAGUUGUUAUGCCAAUAGCAGAGCCAGGCAGCUAAGUUGGUAUGGAAGAACUAUUGCACCGCGGGAAAUCCUUCUCUAUAUAAGUUCUCGAAUGAGGUUUUUGAACAGAACUUUGAUAGGCGAGAGGUGUAAGUACCGCGAGGUGUGAAGCGAUCUCGUACUAAAUGAAACAACUUUCACU
rnacentral:rRNA from 1 species